rnacentral:RNase_P_RNA from 1 species
GGCAGAGAGAGCCCGGUUCCCGUGGCCGCACCGGCGGCCAUGAGGAAAGUCCCCCACCGUCCGGACAGGUGACCGGGCGCAAGCCCGGAGUCGGAGACGGCUGGCUCUGGAACAGAAACGAGACCCCUCGAUCCGACCGAUGAGGUGUGCGAACCCGACCGCAAGGGAGGGGAGUUGACCCACCGAGGGCCGCGAGGGACUCCGUCCCUCGUCUGCGAGCGGGCGCCGCCCGCGAGCCGCGGGUCGAGAACGGAUGGAACGGCGAAUCCUCACCGGUGCAAGUCCGCGCCGUCAAGGUAGUCCGGACAGCACGCCAGCGGCGUGCCCCCGGAGUCGUCCGGGGAGGACGCGGACGCUCAGCUGAAUGCCGGGACGAACAGAAGGGGGCUUACUCCUCUCAGCC